GUGUUUUGGGUUUGAUACCUAUUUAUGUACCUACGGAUUUAAUUAUUUUUUCUUAUUUGAAAGGAAGUCGAAAUGCCUUCAUAAUAGCAAUACAAUAUGAAGUUCAUUACGGGAUUAUACAUUAUAUUUUUUACAAGAAUAUUUAACGUGUCAUCAUCUAGAGUUUUAGAACUAAGUGACAGAUUUUUAGAGUUUAGCAAAGAUGGAAUGUGGUUUGUUAAAUUCUAUGCGCCUUGGUGUUCACACUGUCGGCGCAUGGAACCUACUUGGGCGCAUGUGGCACAAGCCUUGUAUAAUACUCCCGUAAAAGUAGCCAAAGUCGAUUGUACCCGUUUUACAGCUGUGGCCUCACAUUUUCAUAUCCGAGCUUAUCCUACUAUCUUGUUUUUAAAAGGAUCUUUUCAGCAUGAAUACACAGGAGAUAGGGUUAAAGAGGAUUUGAUUAAUUAUGCAAUGAGAAUGUCACAGCCAGCAGUGCAGAGAAUAUCUCGUGGUAACAGCAUUGAAUAUUUAAAAGAAUCUCAUCCUGUAUUCUUUGGAUUCAUUGGCAAACAGGAAGGGCUUUUAUGGGAAAUGUUUACAAUUCAUGCUGAGAAAUAUCAGCCUCAUUCCUGGUUUUAUGCAAUGACCCAUGAAGUAAUAAAACAUGAAAUCAAAGUUCCUAAUGAAACAGCUAUAUUUGUUUAUAAAGAUAAUGAAGCAUUUUUCUUUGAAGUUAAAGAUGAAUUACUUGAAGACAAAAAUAUGUUAAACAACACCUUAGGCAAAUGGAUUAAUUCUGAGAGAUUUGGUUUUUUCCCCAAAAUAACCCGAGCAAAUAUUAAUAGUCUGAUUGAUACUGAAAAAUAUAUUGUGAUAGUAGUAGUUGCAGAAAAUAAACUUGAAGAAAUAUCACAAACUGAAAGAGAUUUUAAAGAUAUGGUAGAAGGAAUUAUAAUGAAAAGAAAAAAUGAGCUACAUUCCCAUUUUCAGUUUGGUUGGAUGGGUUCACCAGAACUAGCAAAUUCUAUUGCUAUGUCUGAACUUACUGUACCUCAUUUAUUAGUAUUAAACUCAACAACAAGUCAUCAUCAUAUUCCAGACGAUGAUCCAGUAUUAAUGACACCAGAAGCAAUCUCACUGUUUCUUGAUCAAAUACACAACCAGCAAGCUACCGUAUAUGGUGGCAAUGGCUGGCCAGUAAAACUAUAUAGAGGUUUCUUUGAAGCAAGAACUACAUUGGCAAACAUGUGGCAUGGAAACCCUGUUCUAACAGCUCUUAUCUUUGGUCUGCCACUGGGCUUUCUCUCACUGAUAUGCUAUUCAGUGUGUUGUGCUGAUAUUUUAGAUGCUGAAGACGAAGACACACCAGAACUACACGAGAAAAGGGACUAAAUAUUGUGUUCGGAAUCAUAGUGGGGACGGCAUGUUGGAGCCAUCGCAAAACUAUGAAAUAAUCCUCCCAUUACAACUUCGACAUUCAGACCUGAAACAAUUGGGAUAAGUUGUUUGUUGAAACAGUGAAAAACA
rnacentral:misc_RNA from 1 species